GUCACUGCUAUCGGGGUCGAUUAAGCCAUGCGAGUUGAGAGGGUUUAGACCCUCGGCGGACUGCUCAGUAACACGUGGAUAACCUGCCCUAAGGUGGAGGAUAACCCCGGGAAACUGGGGAUAAUACUCCAUAGACUAGGUAUUCUGGAAUGUCAUUUAGUCGAAAGUUCCGGCGCCUUAGGAUGGAUCUGCGGCCGAUUAGGUAGUUGUUGGGGUAAAGGCCCAACAAGCCCGUAAUCGGUACGGGUUGUGGGAGCAAGAGCCCGGAGAUGGAAUCUGAGACACGAUUCCAGGCCCUACGGGGCGCAGCAGGCGCGAAAACUUUACAAUGCAGGAAACUGUGAUAAGGGGACCCCGAGUGCUCGUACACGCGAGCUGUCCAGGUGUUUAAAACGCACCUGAAGAAAGGGCCGGGCAAGACCGGUGCCAGCCGCCGCGGUAAUACCGGCGGCUCGAGUGGUGACCACUAUUAUUGGGCUUAAGCGUCGUAGCUGGACUCUUAAGUCUCUUGGGAAAUCCGCCGGCUCAAGCGGCGGGCGUCAAGAGAUACUGGGAGUCUAGGAACCGGAAGAGGUAAGAGGUACUUCGGGGAGUCGGAGUGCAAUCCUGUAAUCUCGACGGAACACCUA
rnacentral:rRNA from 1 species